UACAGAGGGUGCAAGCGUUAAUCGGAAUUACUGGGCGUAAAGCGUGCGCAGACGGUUGCGUAAGUCAGAUGUGAAAGCCCCGGGCUCAACCUGGGAAUUGCAUUUGAGACUGCCUAGCUAGGGUGCGGAAGAGGGAAGCGGAAUUUCCGGUGUAGCGGUGAAAUGCGUAGAUAUCGGAAGGAACACCAGUGGCGAAAGCGGCUUCCUGGUCCAGCACCGACGUCAGGCACGAAAGCGUGGGGAGCAAACAGG
rnacentral:rRNA from 1 species